rnacentral:misc_RNA from 1 species
AAGUCGUAACAAGGUUUCCGUAGGUGAACCUGCGGAAGGAUCAUUACCGAUUUUAGCGAACCUGACCUUCGGUUAUGGUAUCGCGAAAACAUUGUAUUUAAAACCCCACUCAUAAAAAAAAAAAUUUUUAUAUAUAAAUAAAUAAAGAUCACUUUCAACAACGGAUCUCUUGGCUCUC